rnacentral:lncRNA from 1 species
GUUUUGGUCUGUUUUUCUCAUACUUUAUGCAAUAGGUUUACUAUAUUUGUUGUAUGGAAUGAUUGUAAGGUGUACAUGUCUAGCGGGCAGAUGUCAUCUGACCUUGACCUCAUUUUCAUGGUUCAGUGGUUAUAGUUAAGUUUUUGUGUUUUGGUCUGUUUUUCUCAUACUUUAUGCAAUAGGUUUACUAUAUUUGUUGUAUGGAAUGAUUGUAAGGUGUACAUGUCUAGCAGGCAGAUGUCAUCUGACCUUGACCUCAUUUUCAUGGUUCAGU